CCUGGCUCAGGAUGAACGCUGGCGGCGUGCCUAACACAUGCAAGUCGACGGGGUUAUGACGCUGAGGAGACUUCGGUCAAAUCUUGUUGUAACUAGUGGCGGACGGGUGAGUAACGCGUGGAUAACCUGCCAUACACAGGGGGAUAACAGUUAGAAUGACUGCUAAUACCGCAUAAGCGCACGAGGGGGCAUCCUCUUGUGUGAAAAGCGCAUACGGUGUAUGAUGGGUCCGCGUCCGAUUAGCCAGUUGGCGGGGUAAGAGCCCACCAAAGCGACGAUCGGUAGCCGGCCUGAGAGGGUGAACGGCCACAUUGGGACUGAGAGACGGCCCAAACUCCUACGGGAGGCAGCAGUGGGGGAUAUUGCACAAUGGGGGGAACCCUGAUGCAGCCGACGCCGCGUGAGUGAAGAAGUUAUUCGUAAUGUAAAGCUCUAUCAGCAGGGAAGAAACAGACGGUACCUGACUAAGAAGCACCGGCCAAAUACGUGCCAGCAGCCGC
rnacentral:rRNA from 1 species